GAUGAACGCUGGCGGCGUGCCUAAUACAUGCAAGUCGAGCGAACGGACGAGAAGCUUGCUUUUCUGAUGUUAGCGGCGGACAGGUGAGUAACACGUGAAUAACCUACCUAUAAGACUGGGAUAACUUCGGGAAACCGGAGCUAAUACCGGAUAAUAUUUUGAACCGCAUGGUUCAAAAGUGAAAGACGGUCUUGCUGUCACUUAUAGAUGGAUCCGCGCUGCAUUAGCUAGUUGGUAAGGUAACGGCUUACCAAGGCAACGAUGCAUAGCCGACCUGAGAGGGUGAUCGGCCACACUGGAACUGAGACACGGUCCAGACUCCUACGGGAGGCAGCAGUAGGGAAUCUUCCGCAAUGGGCGAAAGCCUGACGGAGCAACGCCGCGUGAGUGAUGAAGGUCUUCGGAUCGUAAAACUCUGUUAUUAGGGAAGAACAUAUGUGUAAGUAACUGUGCACAUCUUGACGGUACCUAAUCAGAAAGCCACGGCUAACUACGUG
rnacentral:rRNA from 1 species